rnacentral:rRNA from 1 species
GACGAACCGUCCUAACGUUGUUCGGAUUCACUGGGCUUAAAGGGCGCAUAGGCGGACUGGUAAGUCCGGGGUGAAAUCUUUCGGCUCAACCGGAAAAGUGCCUUGGAAACUGCCAGUCUCGAGGGGGGUAGGGGCCUGUGGAACUUCGGGUGGAGCGGUGAAAUGCGUUGAUAUCCGAAGGAACGCCGGUGGCGAAAGCGACGGGCUGGACCCCUUCUGACGCUGAGGCGCGAAAGCCAGGGGAGCAAACGGG